AACGAACGCUGGCGGCAGGCCUAACACAUGCAAGUCGAGCGAGGACUUCGGUCCUAGCGGCGGACGGGUGAGUAACGCGUGGGAACGUGCCCUUUGCUUCGGAAUAGCCCUGGGAAACUGGGAGUAAUACCGGAUGAGCCCUUUGGGGGAAAGAUUUAUCGGCGAAGGAUCGGCCCGCGUUGGAUUAGGUAGUUGGUGGGGUAAUGGCCUACCAAGCCGACGAUCCAUAGCUGGGUUGAGAGGAUGAUCAGCCACACUGGGACUGAGACACGGCCCAGACUCCUACGGGAGGCAGCAGUGGGGAAUCUUAGACAAUGGGGGAAACCCUGAUCUAGCCAUGCCGCGUGAGCGAUGAAGGCCUUAGGGUUGUAAAGCUCUUUCAGCUGGGAAGAUAAUGACGGUACCAGCAGAAGAAGCCCCGGCUAACUCCGUG
rnacentral:rRNA from 1 species